UAACCUGCCCCUGUGCGGGGGAUAACAGGAGGAAACUCCUGCUAAUACCGCAUAGCCAUGAGCACCGCAUGGAGCUCAUGCCAAAUAUCCUUUCGGGGAUAGCGCAGGGAUGGACCUAUGGCGCAUUAGCUUGUUGGCGGGGCAACGGCCCACCAAGGCAACGAUGCGUAGCCGGCCUGAGAGGGCGGACGGCCACAUUGGGACUGAGACACGGCCCAGACUCCUACGGGAGGCAGCAGUAGGGAAUUUUCGGCAAUGGGGGAAACCCUGACCGAGCAACGCCGCGUGAGCGAAGAAGGCCUUCGGGUCGUAAAGCUCUGUUGUAAAGGAAGAACGGCGCAUACAGGAAAUGGUAUGCGAGUGACGGUACUUUACCAGAAAGCCACGGCUAACUACGUGCCAGCAGCCGCGGUAAUACGUAGGUGGCGAGCGUUAUCCGGAAUCAUUGGGCGUAAAGAGGGAGCAGGCGGCCGCAAGGGUCUGUGGUGAAAGACCGAAGCUAAACUUCGGUAAGCCAUGGAAACCGGGCGGCUAGAGUGCGGAAGAGGAUCGUGGAAUUCCAUGUGCAGCGGUGAAAUGCGUAGAUAUAUGGAGGAACACCAGUGGCGAAGGCGACGGUCUGGGCCGCAACUGACGCUCAUUCCCGAAAGCGUGGGGAGCAAAUAGGAUUAGAUAC
rnacentral:rRNA from 1 species